rnacentral:rRNA from 1 species
UACGUAGGGGGCAAGCGUUGUCCGGAUUUAUUGGGCGUAAAGAGCGUGUAGGCGGCCUGACAGGUCUGCUGUGAAAACUCGAGGCUCAACCUCGAGAUGUCGGCGGAAACCGUCUGGCUAGAGUCCGGAAGAGGAGAGUGGAAUUCCUGGUGUAGCGGUGAAAUGCGCAGAUAUCAGGAAGAACACCUAUGGCGAAGGCAGCUCUCUGGGACGGUACUGACGCUGAGACGCGAAAAGCGUGGGGAGCGAACAGG